rnacentral:lncRNA from 10 species
AGGCAAUCCAUGAUGAUUUUGAUGAAGUAGUCCACGAACCAUACUUGGCAAAAUUCUGAUGAAAACACCUCACAUUACUGUGCCAUUAAUUUAAUGCCCACCAUGGAGAACUCUAGGACAUCUGGAUUGUCUCUGUUAAGACUUGCUGGGUUCCCACCACACAUGUUGUCGUGAGCUCACUACACACCCUGUCCCUGGAGCAUUGGGAUGCAGCCUGGAGCCAGGAAGAUGACAGUGUUGUGCACAGCUCUGCACUGGUAAUGCACUAUGCAUGAGUCGCCCUCAGGACCUUGUGUUACUGCUGCUGGUUGGCUGGCCAGGCACUGCUGGAUACAGCAAGGGCACUGGCGAUAGCAGGCAGCAGCUUCAGUCCACACCUGCCAACUUCAGCCUAGCCAAGGGCACCCACAUCAGCACGUCCACAGCCUGAGGUCCCCUGGGUUCCACCAAGGACCUCUAAUGCAAGCUGAUAUGGGGCCCUGUGGCCAGCAGGGACCCCUACUAGACCAUCCAGACUUUGCACUAUAAAUCUUACUCAAGGCACCAUACCUGCUGAUAACAGGACCUUAAAGAAGUUAAGAUAUGCAACACUCCAACCAUAAAUCUUCCCCAAGGCAGUUGACCCUAACAUCCACAUGCACAGGAAACCCCAGAAUGGCCACUAUAUGACCUUCCUGGGCCAGCAGUAGUGAGCAACACCACUAUCUUGAACCCACUGAGCAUGGACCAAGACUUCAACCAGGACCAAGCAUGCACAGACACCAUAACAGGAAGGAAGAAAUCACUCCAGGAGGCAGAGGUUCCUGAUGUCAAUCUCUGUACCCUACCCAAUAAAAAACGCUGAGAAGCUCCCCUUGGGGAGCCAGCUGGAGGACUCUUUUUCCUGUGCCAUCUCCCUUAUGCCCAGUGUUUCUGGGCAUAAGUCUUAAUAAACAUUGCCUGGGAAAAGUUUGCCUGGCCUCAUGUUAAUUCCUGUUACCCUGAGAACCAAGAACCUCCCACUGGUAACACCAUCUCCUAAUAAAGUCACAAUGGCAAUCAAUCAAAUUUCAACAUGCAUUUUGGAGGGGGCAAACAUUCUAACCAUGGCAGCAUAUUUCACAUGUACAUUUCUAAAUACAAAUAUAAUGAUCCCACU